GGUAUAGCUCAAGGUUAGAGUGUGAACUUAGUUAGCAUGUUCAAGGUCCUGGGUUCAAUCCCCAGCACC
rnacentral:tRNA from 1 species